rnacentral:lncRNA from 1 species
CCAGAUGCCAUGAUCUUAGUUUUCUGAAUGUUGAGCUCUAAGUCAACUUUCAUCAAGAGGCUUUUUAGUGCCUCUUCACUUUCAACUUGUAGCAAAUUCAUUGUAGGAUAUUUAAGGUAUAUAUAUGCAUCAUCACUGUAGUUUUAAAAUAGUUCGAUACUAUCUCCUCUGCUAUACUGUUUGCUUCGUAUGUAGUAUUAUUUGCUAGAGUGAUGUGGCUAUUGGAACAUGAUUUGAUAUUGAUAAUAGACUGGAAAACGUUGUAAAAGGCCAAGCAAACCAUCUUCUACUAUAUGAAUAGUUAAUCAGGAAUAAAGAGUAUCUUGCAGAAAAGUCUGGAGCCUUAAUGAAUAAUAGAUAGCACCCACUAGUGAAAGAGAAAAUGGAAAAAAACAAAAACAAACCCAAGCCACCCACACAGUAUAAAUGAGGUCAGGUUACACACACUUUGUUUUCCCAGGAAAACAGAGAAGAGUGUGUAGGCUCUGAAGCUUACCUUGUGUGUUUAACACUUCACAAGAUGUUGGGCUUAAUACUUACAUGGAUAGUUUUUUAAAACAUUGUUAUUAUUUUUUUCCCCCUGACAUACUCUGUCACCCAAAGGCAAAUUCAUUGCCUAUGUACUCUCCUUGUCAAACAGUAAUUUAUCUCAACAAAUCCUUAUUUGUGCUCCUGCUAUGAAUUUUGGAUAGAUCAAUCAUCAGUUGGGCUAGUUGAAAGGAAAGUACUUCUGUUUUUGUCCAGAUAAACCUUACCUAUGGGAUAAACCUGUGGAAGAAAAGAUGUGCUGAUUUUCGACAAGCUAGGAGUGACAAGACAAAAGCAUUGAUUGGGAAAGAGUAUGUUAUCAAGGAACCACUCUGACCAGUAUAUCUGGCUCUGUGGUGGUUCUGAAGAUGACUGGAAACUCUCCAAGCCUUUGACACAAUCAGAAGUUAUUUC